rnacentral:rRNA from 1 species
UUGGACAAUGGGCGCAAGCCUGAUCCAGCCAUACCGCGUGUGUGAAGAAGGCCUUCGGGUUGUAAAGCACUUUAAGCAGGGAGAAAAAGUUAUAAGUUAAUACCCUAUAACCGUGAUGUUACCUGCAGAAUAAGCACCGGCUAAUUCCGUGCCAGCAGCCGCGGUAAUACGGAAGGUGCAAGCGUUAAUCGGAAUUACUGGGCGUAAAGCGCGCGUAGGUGGUUUGUUAAGUUGGAUGUGAAAGCCCUGGGCUCAACCUAGGAACUGCAUCCAAAACUAACUCACUAGAGUACGAUAGAGGGAGGUAGAAUUCAUAGUGUAGCGGUGGAAUGCGUAGAUAUUAUGAAGAAUACCAGUGGCGAAGGCGGCCUCCUGGAUCUGUACUGACACUGAGGUGCGAAAGCGUGGGUAGCGAACAGGAUUAGAUACCCUGGUAGUCCACGCCGUAAACGAUGACAACUAGCUGUUGGGAGACAAUGUCUCUCAGUGGCGCAGCUAACGUUUUAAGUUGUCCGCCUGGGGAGUACGGCCGCAAGGCUAAAACUCAAAUGAAUUGACGGGGACCCGCACAAGCGGUGGAGCAUGUGGUUUAAUUCGAUGCAACGCGAAAAACCUUACCUACUCUUGACAUACUUGGAAGCUCUUGUAAUGAGAGUGUGCCUUAUGGAACCAAGAUACAGGUGCUGCAUGGCUGUCGUCAGCUCGUGUCGUGAGAUGUUCCGUUAAGUCGGAUAACGAGCGCAACCCUUACCCUUAUUUGCCAGCGAUUCGGUCGGGAA